AUGCCACUUCAGGGCCGUGAGCAGGGAGGGAGGGACCCCGGGGGGACAGCCAGGGACCUGCCCUCACAGAGACAGAGGCUGGUGUGGACAGCGAGCCAAGUGGCUGCACCCGGAGGGGUCGGGGAGGGGCCUGGCGGAGUGAGGAGCCAUGCCCACGAACCGGAGGGCUUCCCGGAGGACAGACAGCUGCGCGGAGAUCCUGGAGGCCCGUCUCCCGGGCCACGCCGGUUCUCCCCACGGCGUCUCCCAGUAUGUGUGGAGGAGGCAGCAAGGAGACGUCUGUGUCGCCCGCCCGCACGGGUGGCGCCACCAGCCUGCCCACAAGCCAUCUGCCUCUUUCCUCUCCCGGGGAGCAGAGACGCAGGGAGGAGGAGACGCUGGCUGGAGCCAGAGCUGGGAGCACCUGCCAGAGCCCAUCCAGUCCCCGGCCCUGCUGGCCAGUGCUCCUGCCUAUCCCAGCUCUGGCAGGUUGGGUGUGAAGGCCUGAGCAGACAGGAAAGGGCUGACUGCAGGAGUCUGUGAAUCAAGGCCAGGCACUCGGCCGGCGGGUGCUCCGUCAACGCUCUGAGAGAAGGAGCAUGCUCGGGUGCCUGGGCACCGACUAGGGAGGUAAGUGAAGUCCUUGGAGAGCUGUGUGGUGGCUCUCGGGUCCUCUCACCUGGGUCCCCAGCCCUCCCAUGGUCCUCACGGGAGACUGCUUGAUGGAAGACAUUCCAGGCCCACCUGGGUGGCACCAGUCUUGGGCAGUGCAGAGGGCCAGUCACCCACCUGCUGCCUGAAGUGUCACCCCUCUGGCUUCUUUCUUUUGGCUUCUUUCCUACAAUUUAAUUUAAUAGACUUGUGUGUGUGUGUGUGUGUGUGUGUGUGUGUGUGUGUUAAGCAGUCUUGAGUUCACAGAAACAUGAAGGCACAUUUAUAGACGGUUGUAUGGCGACAUGCACCUGUCACGACACAUCACAGGGAUGGCUUCUCUGUCCUAAACACCCUUGGUGCUCCAUCUAUCUACCCCUGGAAACUCCUAAUCCUUUCACUGUCUCCAAAAUGUGGCCUUUCCCAGAAUGCUGUAGAGCCACCAACACACAUGCUUGGCCUUCCCAUGCUGGUGUCUCAACAAUACACUCGUGAGUUUCCCCCAUGUCUUUUCGCGGACUAAUCGCUCGUUUCUUUUUAGCGCUGAGUACUAUUCCACUCUCUGGAUGGACCACGCUGUAUUUAUUCACUCACCUUCUCAGGGACAUCUUGGCCACAUCCAAAUUUGGGAAAUUGUAAGCAAAACUACCAUCAAAUUCCACGAAUGGGUUUUUUGGCAGAUAUGAAUUUUCAACUAAUUUGGGUGAGUGCCAAGGCGAAUGGUAUGGGAAUAACACUGUCCAAUUUUGUGAGAAAUUG
rnacentral:lncRNA from 12 species